rnacentral:misc_RNA from 1 species
ACUAUUUCAUGUAUAUAAAAAUUACCCCGCGAUGAGAAAAAUAAUCGUUUUCAAUCAAUGCCACGGUACUUGAUUAGGAUGACUGAUGGAACCUAACUUGUAGUACCUUGUCGUAGAGAGAGGCGCUUGUGCUCCGGUAGAGUGACUUGGGGGUGUAGCUAUCUGUGGUAUAUCGGCACUCUGAGCCGAAGUUCCAUCUCCCUUCAAUACUGCGACACACUUCCAAUUAUUUACAUAAUUGUCUUUCCACAAUCGAACACAGCCGUCGUCGCCGGAACUCGCUAAUAUCGUCCCCAUGAUAUUCCAGCACACCCGCCAGACCGUGCAAUAAUGAUCGUCGAACUGGGCAGCAGUUGUUAUUUCAAACCGAGAUAAACCACUCUGAGCUGAGUCUCUGGAAGAACAAAUUAGUUGCGGCUAAAUUUUUACAAUACUGGAAGUUUUCGUCCACCGUCUACUGUUUUCCGAGUAUUCAUAGACAAAAACCUUUCCUCCACUAGACACAUUUGUGUCGUCGCUUCCCACUGCCAACAUAGGUGGAUGGAGUCUGCCAAAUACGAAUCAGAAAAUUAAAG